ACCAGACUCCUACGGGAGGCAGCAGUGGGGAAUAUUGCACAAUGGGGGAAACCCUGAUGCAGCGACGCCGCGUGAGUGAAGAAGUAUUUCGGUAUGUAAAGCUCUAUCAGCAGGGAAGAAAAAAGACGGUACCUGACUAAGAAGCCCCGGCUAACUACGUGCCAGCAGCCGCGGUAAUACGUAGGGGGCAAGCGUUAUCCGGAUUUACUGGGUGUAAAGGGAGCGUAGACGGUGCGUCAAGUCUGAAGUGAAAGCCCGGGGCUUAACCCCGGGACUGCUUUGGAAACUGGCGCGCUAGAGUGCUGGAGAGGUAAGUGGAAUUCCUAGUGUAGCGGUGAAAUGCGUAGAUAUUAGGAGGAACACCAGUGGCGAAGGCGGCUUACUGGACAGUAACUGACGUUGAGGCUCGAAAGCGUGGGGAGCAAACAGGAUUAGAUACCCGUGUA
rnacentral:rRNA from 1 species